UACAGAGGGUGCAAGCGUUGUUCGGAAUUAUUGGGCGUAAAGCGCGCGCAGGCGGUCUUCCAAGUCAGUGGUGAAAGCCCGGAGCUCAACUCCGGAACUGCCAUUGAAACUGUAAGACUUGAGGAUGAGAGAGGUGAGUGGAAUUCCCAGUGUAGAGGUGAAAUUCGUAGAUAUUGGGAAGAACACCGGUGGCGAAGGCGGCUCACUGGCUCAUAUCUGACGCUCAGGCGCGACAGCGUGGGGAGUCAAACAG
rnacentral:rRNA from 1 species